rnacentral:rRNA from 1 species
CCUACGGGAGGCAGCAGUGGGGGAUAUUGCACAAUGGGGGAAACCCUGAUGCAGCGACGCCGCGUGGGUGAAGAAGCGCCUCGGCGCGUAAAGCCCUGUCAGCAGGGAAGAAAAUGGCGGUACCUGAAGAAGAAGCCCCGGCUAACUACGUGCCAGCAGCCGCGGUAAUACGUAGGGGGCAAGCGUUAUCCGGAUUUACUGGGUGUAAAGGGGGCGCAGACGGCGAUGCAAGCCAGGAGUGAAAGCCCGGGGCCCAACCCCGGGACUGCUCUUGGAACUGCGUGGCUAGAGUGCAGGAGGAGCAGGCGGAAUGCCUGGUGUAGCGGUGAAAUGCGUAGAUAUCAGGAGGAACACCGGUGGCGAAGGCGGCCUGCUGGACUGCAACUGACGUUGAGGCCCGAAAGCGUGGGGAGCAAACAGGAUUAGAUACCCGAGUAGUC